GACGAACGCUGGCGGCGUGCUUAACACAUGCAAGUCGAACGGAAAGGCCCUGCUUUUGUGGGGUGCUCGAGUGGCGAACGGGUGAGUAACACGUGAGUAACCUGCCCUUGACUUUGGGAUAACUUCAGGAAACUGGGGCUAAUACCGGAUAGGAGCUCCUGCUGCAUGGUGGGGGUUGGAAAGUUUCGGCGGUUGGGGAUGGACUCGCGGCGUAUCAGCGUGUUGGUGGGGUAGUGGCUUACCAAGGCGUUGACGGGUAGCCGGCCUGAGAGGGUGACCGGCCACAUUGGGACUGAGCUACGGCCCAGACUCCUCCGGGAGGCAGCAGUGGGGAAUAUUGUACAAUGGGAGGAAGCCUGAUGCAGCAACGCCGCGUGCGGGAUGACGGCCUUCGGGUUGUAAACCGCUUUCGCCUGUGACGAAGCGUGAGUGACGGUAAUGGGUAAAGAAGCACCGGCUAACUACGUG
rnacentral:rRNA from 1 species